UACGUAGGGACCAAGCGUUGUUCGGAUUUACUGGGCGUAAAGGGCGCGUAGGCGGCGAAUCAAGUCAGCUGUGAAAUCUCCGAGCUUAACUCGGAACGGUCAGCUGAUACUGUUUUGCUAGAGUGCAGAAAGGGCAACCGGAAUUCCGGGUGGAGUGGUGAAAUGCGUAGAGAUCCGGAGGAACACCGAAGGCGAAGGCAGUGUCCUGGCGCGUAACUGACGCUGAGGUGCGAAAGCCAGGGGAGCGAACGGG
rnacentral:rRNA from 1 species